AUUUUGGUGGCUGAGCGAAAUAUAGGCGCCGGAUUGUAAAUCCGGAGACGGUUUUACGACCCCGGGGUU
rnacentral:tRNA from 1 species